GUCCGCGUGGCCUAAUGGAUAAGGCGUCUGACUUCGAAUCAGAAGAUUGCAGGUUCAAUCCUGUCUCGGACG
rnacentral:tRNA from 1 species